rnacentral:misc_RNA from 1 species
UCUGGGUUUAUCCCAGCGGUCUCGUUAGAAAGAUUUAACUAACGACGGGGGUUGCGCUCGUUGCGGGACUUAACCCAACACCUCACGGCACGAGCUGACGACAGCCAUGCAGCACCUGUGCAAGCUGGUCUUGCGACCUCGUCACCCUUUCAGGCUUCUACUACUAGAUACAUGUCAAGGCCAGGUAAGGUUCUUCGCGUUGCAUCGAAUUGAGCCACAUACUCCACCGCUUGUGCAGGCCCCCGUCAAUUUCUUUGAGUUUUAAUCUUGCGACCGUACUCCCCAGGCGGCACGUUUAACGCGUUAGCUUCGCCACAAAAGGGGUCGAUUCCUUUUACAGCAAACGUGCACCGUUUACAGCUAGGACUAC